AACGAACGCUGGCGGCAUGCCUAACACAUGCAAGUCGAACGGAACCGCCCGUGCUUGUGGCGCACGUCGGGGUAACAACGGGGAAGCUACCCGUGGGUUAGCAACACUUCACCGAAGGAGGUGCUAGGACCAGUGAAUCUAUUCGGACCAAGGACUUAUGGCUUUUUGAUGUGCCGGCGUUGUUUUAGCUAGUUGGUAGGGUAAAAGCCUACCAAGGCGACGAUGGAGAGCUGGUCUGAGAGGAUGAUCAGACACACUGGGACUGAGACACGGCCCAGACUCCUACGGGAGGCAGCAGUAGGGAAUAUUGGACAAUGGGCGAAAGCCUGAUCCAGCAAUGCCGCGUGAGUGAUGAAGGCCUUAGGGUUGUAAAGCUCUUUUACCCGGGAUGAUAAUGACCGUACCGGGAGAAUAAGCCCCGGCUAACUCCGUG
rnacentral:rRNA from 1 species